rnacentral:lncRNA from 1 species
AAGAGGUGAGGAAUUGGCAGCCAGGAGAGCAUGAUGAGUCAUGAUGAUGGUUAUAGGGUCUCUUUCCUGAGAACCUUUGCUCUGUGCUAACACUUUGCAUAUGUGUCUUCUUUGAGACUUGGCUCUUGGGGAGAAGAAAGAGUUGUAAAUAUAAUCUAGGUUCUGUACUUUUCUAAGCCAGUGUCAUUUGGGUGUUUUGCAUGGGGUAUGUCUCAAAAGCUAUAGUUCUUAGGUAGGAGGGCAUUUUAGGUCUCAAUGGGUCCUUAUUUCCCAGAGGCUUUGGGAAGCAGCAUGAGUUCACUUGGUUGCUAGAAAGUGCCUCUACAGUAUCUCUUACUUCAGGGUGGCAGUAUAUCUAGAGAAUCCAGAUGGGAAAGUUCAGUGCUGCGUUCCAGGGAGCCUUGGCAAGGUAUUGGAGGGGUAGGAAGCAUUCCACCCAGUCCUGACCCGUCUUCUCAUCGUCGUUGUGCACCCUAGCCUUGUUGCACCUUACUUUGUAAAAUACGGGGAGGCCCAAGUCUGCCAGCCUGUCUAUGAUGCCAAUGGAGUAGGGCUUCUCAGGGGGAGCUUGGCCUUUAUUUUCUGCAAUGCUCUGCCCCCUGAGGUAGCACCCACUGUCCUCUGGAGGAGGAAAAGUGGUCCCUGUCCCAUCUUGUCUUGUACUUCAGCAGAGAAUGCCAGGCCUCUUUUCAUUUGCCCAGUUUGGCAGCACAGUACCUGCUGUCUCUCUGGGUCAGGAGAGGUGGCCAGUGCUCUGAAGGUACAUCAUUUCUUUGACAACUGCUGGGGAGAGGGAAAGUAAAAAAGGGAAUUUGAAGUUUACAGCCACCCUUGCCCUUUGAGCUUACAU